GAGAGCUUAACUAGAGGAUCACUCUUCUUGGAAACAACAAACUAGAAUGUCCGGAUCAAUUAGGUUUCUUUUAUUCUACAUGAAUGGACGGCAGACUCCUACUACAGAAGAAAGGAUUAAUGCUGCUUCCCUUUUUUCUACUGGCCCAGGAAAAGAGGACUUGAAAAUUUUACAAAAUCACGGAUAAUAAAAAAGGAAAACAACUUCUAGGGAGAAUCAGGUGAAGCUGUCAAGUACAAAGCUAAGGCCAAGGGUGAUAUUAACUCAGAUGAAAAAGGACACCAAACCAUUUUCUAUUCAUGCUAGACAUGACCAUAGAUUCAGUUUUUCUAGUAAAUCUUGGAUAAUCAAUAUAUAUGGCUAAAUGAAUGUAUGUGAUCAUGUGUGACUGUGUGUGUGUGAUUAUGCAUGAGUGUUUGUACUCAUGUGUGAGGGUAUUGGUGUGAGAUUUGUAUGA